rnacentral:rRNA from 1 species
GGAACUGCCUACGCAAGUAGUGAGGAAGGCGGGGAUGACGUCAAAUCAGCACGGCCCUUACGUCCUGGGCUACACACGUGCUACAAUGGCCGGUACAGAGUGAAGCGAAACCGCGAGGUGAAGCAAAACGCAGAAAGCCGGUCUCAGUACGGAUUGGAGUCUGAAACUCGACUUCAUGAAGUUGGAAUCGCUAGUAAUCGCGCAUCAGCAUGGCGCGGUGAAUACGUUCCCGGGCCUU